rnacentral:lncRNA from 1 species
GGGACAACUAAUUAAAUUUCUAGAUAAGUUGGGUUUAAAUCCUUUAUUGUAUGUGAGUUUCAUGGGUCGUAUUUAAGCUGUUAAUGAGUCAUAAUGGACUAUAAAAAAUAAUAGGUUAACUUGGGCUCAACCCAAAUUAAUUCAUAAGCUAAAAUAUUAUAAUUCAAUUUAUUAAUCUCUAAGUUAAUUGGGCGAAUUAAAUAAAUUUGAGCUCAAAUUGCCACGUAGGGACCACUUAGCCAACCCCAAGCGUGAUGGAUCAAUUAGGACACAGGGAAUGCUUAGAGGCGUCAAUAUGAGCUGGCCAAUUGGUAUAUAGGGAAUGCACUAAUGCUAUAUAACGUCUUACAAUCACCUUAUAAUCACCUUAUUAAUUUGUUCGUGAGUAGAAGCGGAACCAAAAUUUAUAUUUAUGGGGUCUGAUUUGUUAUCCAGUCCUUGUUUAUUUUAAUUACUAGGUUCACGACUAAAUAAAGAGCAUUCAUAAUUUUAUCAUCUAAUCUAUCACCUACUGUAACAUUAUGUAGAAAUUCACUAUCGAUAAAUUAAAAACAAGGGCGAUCACUAUCAAGAAUUACGGGAGGAGGAGGAGGACGUCUAGGUUGGCGACUACUUGCAACUUGCUUAUCUUUUCUAGGUUGAGGAGCUGGGGAAGGGUAGUAUUAUGGCUAUUACUUUCACCGAUUUUACCUUUUCCUUUACCAAAUAUUUAUUUAAAGAAAAUGUCAUAUUAAUUUUAAUUAUGAAAACUAAACCACAUAAAAAUAUAU